UAAAAGCAUAUUAAACCUGACAAACCUGACAAAAAUUUGCAUAUUAUUGUAGCUGAGUUAGUUCUGAAAACAACACUGUGUGUCAGGGUGAUAAAAUUUGCAUCCGCCCCCAGUUUAUCCCUCGGUGUCCAACAUUAACACUUUUAAUCAUGUUUACUGUUGGUACUUUUUAAAAUGUUUUUAUUUUUUCUAAACUGCUAUACAUAUAUGUUGUUUAUGUGUUGUAGAGAUGGAAUAUUUCCCUGCACUUGGAUGCCUGGAUGUUCUGACAAGUGAAAUGCAGAAAUUUGGCUUGCAAAGUCAGUGACUCCGCCCUUUGUUGUUGAUGCCGGAGUUUUUCAUAUUUAUUCUCGUACAUUUGUACAGUAGUACAGCAGUUUUGCAUAUUAAAUUAAAACUCAGUGGCUUAAAGGGUUAUGAGCUUUAAUAUCACUUGAUGCAUUCUUCACUGUUCCUUUGUGUAACUCCAGGAUGUCUUCAACCUCCAUAUAACCACAAUCACUGUGAUAUGAAGAGCCGCACAAGACAUCUAUAUUACAGAUCAGCCACAAACUGCUCCUUCACGGCAACCUUUAUCACAAAUGGCCAAUAAACUGAACAGAACGGCAGAGUUUAUGGCUCCGAGUCUGGUUUUGUAGUUUGAUCAGAUGCUGUUGGUUUUCCAAGCUGGCAUCAAAUCAUUAGAAUCAAACACUCAAAGGCCUGGGAUGAGAGAUAGAGCGGAGAAGUACACACCGAGUAGGAAGCCUAUCAGAAGGGACAGAUAUGAUGCAAUGGAAGAAAUAAUGGAGGAACUGGAAAAUGAAAGGUUCAAACCUUCCCAAGAAAAGCAAUGAUAUCUAUCUUUGAAGUCGGUGAAUCAAACUGGAUUUUGUCAACCAGGUGUCUGUUCUACAAGCAACUGACAAGCAACAUCUGUUCACAGAUGCCAAGAAGCAGUAUCCCAACCACCCUGACUCUGUCAGUUCCUCUCUUUCUUUCUUUCUUUCUUUCUUUCUUUCUUUCUUUCUUUCUUUCUUUCUUUCUUUCUUUCUCAUGCAAGUCCAGAUCUUCUCUUCAGACAACUGAUAGAAAAGGUACUGAUGUCAAUUUGGACACUGGACAGUACUGGGAUCCACAAGGUUGGACAUUUGUAGUGGGGACACAUUGAAAAGCCUUAGGGCAGCCACAGUGAAUCAUCUCUCUCCACCUAUCCCUAUCUUCUGCAUCCGCACCACUAUGAAGCUAGUGGAGCUUCAUAUCCUCAUUUAUUACAUCCAUAAGUCUCAAAUCUGACUGAACUCAUUCUGGGGAUUCCUUCUGAGGAUCUCAGACUAGGAGCUCAUAAAGCCGGGUCAACAGCGGGCCAGUGGUGGCCUGCAGGCACAACACACACAUCAGACCCCACUCUCAGUCUCUGCCUACGCAAGCCAACAUGCUAUCCAGCAUUCUAAGUGACACUCAUCCUUAAAAUAUAUUAUAUUAAAGCAAGAGUAAGGUAGUUAAACAUCAAACAGAGGGAUGCUAUGCCAUGACCAUGAGAGCAAACACUGGACCAGUACAGACUCCGGCUUCAGGCUUCGACUCAGUUCUUAUCGAGAGCAAGCUAUGCAAAGCAUCCUUUAACGCUGCAUUGCUCACGGGGAAAUGAUUCAAAGAAUGCUAUUUAUUCCAAGGAAGAGGUCAAUAACGCUCUCUGAAGGUUACACCCUGUCAAAGAAUGUGAAUGAUGGCUAAAUGUGAAGAAUGCAUAUUACCAUGUAUCAGUGUUUGCACUUACAGCCUUACAUGGUGGAAACGGAGCUGUAAACACCUCUGCUUUCACUUUCACUCCAGCCACCAGAGAGCUAUUAGCACCUCUUGACAUUUCAUCUCGGCCAUAAAACCGUUGUAUAUGAGAAGCGAAGCAGGAAUUUGCGCAGCAGGGCCUUUCCAUCUCCAUCGGAAUUGAAGCGUGAGUUGGUCAAUGUCUGAAUGAACCUCCCGGCAGCUGUGUGCAGUCAGCCAUAUCAUGCCACUCAAGCAUUCAUUUAACUUAAUCAUAUGCUUAUGUCCAACGCAUCCCAGAUCGCUGUGUAUGGACGAUGAGAUGUUGUGCAGAUGUGUAAAAAUAUAUACUGAAAUAUUACAGAAGAGCAAAUGUGCAGCAGAAAUAUAUAAACAUUCAAUAUACACACUUUUUCUUAUUGAGUGCCGUAAAUGAUUCAAUUCCCCGUGGACAGGAGGAGGAGCAAUGUGGUAAUGCAAGCAGGCAGCCAGCCAAACACACCGGAGAGAGAAAGAUGCUGAGGAGAGGAUAAAUUUUGGAAGAAGAGGGAGGCUAAUUAUGAUAUUAAUCACAUUUUAAUUUCAAUUCACCCAGUAACCGUCAAACACGCUCAUGCUAAUCAGACCAGCUGAGGAAGACUGCCAAAGCUAAGAGUAUUAACACAUCUCAUAGAGAGAGAAAGAGAGAGAGAGAGACAUAGACAGUGCGAUAGAGAGAGAGAGACUGAUGAAGAAAUGCAUGGGGCCAGAGUGAAAUCAAACUGACUGCUGCCUUUCAUCCAGCCAGAACCUCCGCAGGGCACCAGCAGACGGAGGGAUGGAUAAAAAGGAUUGACAAAGAAAGGGAAAUGACAUGUCUAUGGAAAUGACAAGUUAUUAACGCCAAAGGACACAAAGUGUUUAUCGCACGUGCGGAAAGGGUGUGAUCAGCGUCUGAAGCGAGCGGCGUCAGAACGUGGGUGGGGUAUAUGGGUGAGCCCUGUGCACUUCACCAGGCCCUGUCUGCUUUCCGAGACACAUCCUAUACCGUGUGGAUUGGAGAAUUUCACAUCUGCAGGUCCUUUUGUACGAGUGACUGACCGGCUGUCUGUGUUCUUCUCGAUCCGAACGGAACGAGAAGGAAGAAUGAAUGAAAGCGGCACUGCAAGUUGCAAGGGACAUGAUCUAUUAAAUAGAUGGAGUAAUGCAUUACACUAAUAAUCUAAAAUUUCGUUUGCCCAGAAGCUAAGCCUUAUUUUCUCCUUCAUUUCAGGUCGAGUUCAGUUCAGAUUAAAUAGAGAGAGAGAGAAAGAGAGAGAGAGAGAGAGAGAGAGAGAGAGUUAGGGAAUGAAUGCUGAUGGCCUGAAGUGCCCUUCUCUCCUCCCUCCCACUAACCCUCUUUACUUCCAAUCCGACCCUUAAACUUCCUCUCCUCCUUUUUGCAUCCCCCUUUCUCGCCUCUCUAUCCGUCUCUGUCUCCUCUCUUCUUUCACUUACAAACUCUUUCUCCCCCCUUUCUUCCCUCUCCACUCGAAUUUUCAGACACUCUCUCUCUCUCUCUCUCUCUCGUAGGAGAGCCGGGCGGGUGCCUCCAUGGUUACCUGGCACCGUGCCAUCUCAUUACACCGCCAAUUGAUUCUGGAGCACUGCCACGUCCGUUACCCCCACCACCACCACCACUGCCAC